CAGACUCCAUUGCUAGAGUACUCGAGGGUUAAAGCACGUGACUCACGUAGAAAAAGGAAGACGAGCGGUGGGGGAGAACGACCGUUAAGUGUUAUAUGGCGGGAAACUGCCUAAAAUCGGCGACAACAGAUGCCUUUUAGCUUACCUUGCUCGCAGAGUUCAUGUCAGUUUGUUGUUAUGCUCGUACUUCGCCAUCAGCAGAACAAACAUUUGUACGGUAUUGCCAUCUCGCGUCGUUCUCAGAAUCUUUCCCUUCAAGAUCUCCAGUGUAUUUCAACGUUUUGAACAAUGGGAAAUCCUCAGCCUUCGAUCGUCUAAGCCUUCUGGACGCGUUUCUGUAACAUUUCCAGACUUGUGGCUCGAUCACUAUCAUGUCGGCGAUGGAACAAGCCUUUCUUAGAAAUUUCACCAGUCCUUCGUCCCCGUGGUUCAAGUGGAUCCACAUCGUGAUCGAGAAA